UACGUAGGGUGCAAGCGUUAAUCGGAAUUACUGGGCGUAAAGCGUGCGCAGGCGGCUCUGCAAGACAGAUGUGAAAUCCCCGGGCUCAACCUGGGAACUGCAUUUGUGACUGCAUGGCUAGAGUACGGCAGAGGGGGAUGGAAUUCCGCGUGUAGCAGUGAAAUGCGUAGAUAUGCGGAGGAACACCGAUGGCGAAGGCAAUCCCCUGGGCCUGUACUGACGCUUAUGCACGAAAGCGUGGGGAGCAAACAGG
rnacentral:rRNA from 1 species